UUCUUUUAAGUAUGAUGUGUAAUCCAGCCCAAAUAUUUUUGGGCUAGUAUACUAUAAAAACUAAAUUUAGACUAAGUAGAAAAAAAUAAAUUCAUGUAAUACCAUGUCCAUAUAAAAGAAGAGAUAAAACCUUAUAGUUCAUCCACUCUGAUUUUACAACUUCAUAAUAGUUUAGAAAAAACAAAUUUUAAGAGUUAUUUUUUCUUUGAUAUAUGAAGAGAAGAGGAGUGAAGUGGAUUGACUUUGAAGGAUUGAAGGUUUUUUUUUUCUUUCAUGGUUUCAAGCUUUUGCAGAAAUGAUAUGAAGAAAUGGAAAAACCGAUGAGGAUUUGGUCACUAUGGCCGUGGGAUUUUGACUCGCUACAGAUGAAGAUUUGGAAAUGAUGUGGGGUCCAAGGCUAACACCUUUAAAGCGCUUGCUUGAAGAUGCUGCCCAGGAUAACUUGCUGCCUGCAUGUUUGGGAACGUGAUCCAACCUGCGUUCCUAAAAAAUGGUGUUGGGUUUGGAGAUAAUGGUGUAGACUCUGUGUGUGCUCUUUGGUUAGGUUUGGAGAUAAUGGUGUUGGGUUUUGUGGAGUUGCACAGAUUUUGUGAUUCCACACCGUGGAGAUGUCAAUGUGCAAAUUGUGUGAGAGAUCUGGAAUUUGCAGAGCUUAGGUGCUGAAAUUCUGAGAUGGAAAGAAGAUUUCGUGGGGGAUUGAGUUACGUGAUUGCUGAGAUUUCUAGACUGUGUGUGGGAAGAUUGAGUUUCGACGGUGAAAUAGCAGCUACAUUUUUGGAUUUCGCACACUCUCAGGCUGAAAAUCAGACUGUGGAGAGUUGUCUUGGAAUCUUAAUCAGGUUUGAGAUUUCUGCAAUGAUACUUCACUCAUAAAUUUUAGCAAGGAGAUUUCACGGGCAUGAAUCAUCUAUAGACUUGUUUCCUUGCAUAUUUCCUUCUCUUUUGAAAUUUCACUUAUGAUUGCCUUGACAGAAAUUGAAGCCCAAUAAUACUGUUGUUGAAGAAAAAAAAAAGUUAAUGCCCAGUCUGCCUCAUCAUACUCAAAUCAUUCUUGUCCCUGGCUGGCAUCCCACCCCCUACUAUGUCGUCUACACAGCUCUAUCCACUAGGUCUUGUCUCUUUACCAUAUGGUAUUAAAAAUUAAAACAUUACUACCGAGAGAAGAAGAAGAGCAUCAACAACUUCAAUAAUAAUAUAUAAAUUAUUAUUAUUAUUUAA